rnacentral:rRNA from 1 species
UAACGCGAAGAACCUUACCAAGGCUUGACAUGGGCCGGAUCGCCGCAGAGAUGUGGUUUCCCCUUUGGGGCCGGUUCACAGGUGGUGCAUGGUUGUCGUCAGCUCGUGUCGUGAGAUGUUGGGUUAAGUCCCGCAACGAGCGCAACCCUCGUUCCAUGUUGCCAGCGCGUAAUGGCGGGGACUCAUGGGAGACUGCCGGGGUCAACUCGGAGGAAGGUGGGGACGACGUCAAAUCAUCAUGCCCCUUAUGUCUUGGGCUUCACGCAUGCUACAAUGGCCGGUACAAAGGGUUGCGAUACUGUGAGGUGGAGCUAAUCCCAAAAAGCCGGUCUCAGUUCGGAUUGGGGUCUGCAACUCGACCCCAUGAAGUCGGAGUCGCUAGUAAUCGCAGAUCAGCAACGCUGCGGUGAAUACGUUCCCGGGUCUUGUACACACCGA